UCCACCACAAGACAUCUAUCAAGUUGACAGCAAAAACCGUAGAUCUUUAGUGUAUAGCUACUUACCCUGGUUGUACGCAACUUCCACUCGCUUUCAAGAUACAAGGAGGAAAUCAGAAGGGCAAAACUGGCUUGUCGACGUCAAUAACAGCUGCCUCACAUACAUGCCCAAAGGCCACAGCAAUCACGUGUGGGGACAUUGCAGCACAUGACCAUGCUUAUCAGAGCAACAGGCCUGCAAAGAUCGAAACUGCACCCGCAUUUAUUCACACAGUUGGGGCAAGCUCAUGUGCGGAGGUGCUUUACACUCCAAUAGAUGGGAAGGUUCAAGGUCUGGAGCUCACAUGUUUCACUCGUCAUUUGGAGAAGGGGUUCAGUGAGGAUGAGGUCUCAAAGUUUCAAAGCAAGUUGAUCAGUUAUAUAACAGAGAAAAUAAUGGAUCUGAACCAUGAGCAAAUUUAGCCUGAAAUCAAUCAGCCUUUUGAUGCUGUGCAUGAGUUGUGUGUGUUUUCUCACUUUUUUCCCAGGAAUAAAGUUGUUGAUGCUUUACUAAA